rnacentral:rRNA from 1 species
UACGUAGGGUGCAAGCGUUAUCCGGAAUUAUUGGGCGUAAAGAGCUCGUAGGCGGUUUGUCACGUCUGCUGUGAAAACUGGAGGCUCAACCUCCAGCCUGCAGUGGGUACGGGCAGACUAGAGUGCGGUAGGGGAGAUUGGAAUUCCUGGUGUAGCGGUGGAAUGCGCAGAUAUCAGGAGGAACACCGAUGGCGAAGGCAGAUCUCUGGGCCGUAACUGACGCUGAGGAGCGAAAGCAUGGGGAGCGAACAGA